GCCUGGGUGGCUCAGUCGGUUGAGCGUCCGACUUCAGCUCAGGUCACAAUCUCACAGUUCGUGAGUUCGAGCCCCGCGUCAGGCU
rnacentral:tRNA from 1 species